rnacentral:rRNA from 1 species
CCAAUCGAACUCGGAGAUAGCUGGUUCUCCCCGAAAUAGCUUUAGGGCUAGCGUUGUGUUAGUUUACCGGAGGUAGAGCACUGAAUUGGCUAAGGGGCGAUGAGCUUACUGAACCUUAUCAAACUUCGAAUGCCGGAUAAAUGGUGCACAGCAGUCAGACAGUGUGAGAUAAGUUUCAUUGUCAAGAGGGAAACAGCCCAGACCCACAGCUAAGGUCCCAAAUGAACGCUAAGUGGAAAACGAUGUGGGGUUGCAAAAACAACCAGGAUGUUGGCUUAGAGGCAGCCACUCAUUAAAAGAGUGCGUAAUAGCUCACUGGUCGAGUGACCCUGCGCGGAAAAUAUAACGGGGCUAAGCGUCCAACCGAAGCUUGGGAUGUCUAAGGACAUGGUAGGGGAGCGUCGUGUAUAGGGAGAAGCAUGAGCGAGAGCACAUGUGGACAGUACACGAGUGAGAAUGCCGGAAUGAGUAGCGAGAAUUAUGUGGGAAUCAUAAUGGCCGAAAAUCUAAGGUUUCUUGGGGAAGGUUCGUCCGCCCAAGGUAAGCCGGGAGCUAAGGCGAGGCCGAAAGGCGUAGUCGAUGCACAUACGGUUGAAAUUCCGUAGCCGCCGAAAUUGUUAAGCACAGGGACACAUAGAGAUAUCCGAACCCGGGCGUUGGUUGACCCGGGCGCAAGGGACCGAACAUCAGUAGGGAAGUCGGAGAUGCUCUGUGGCGAGAAAAGCUGUGUGUAUUGAUUAGGCGCCCGUACCGCAAACCGACACAGGUAGAUGAGGAGAGAAUCCUAAGGCCAACGGGAGAAGGGUUGUUAAGGAACUCGGCAAAUUGACCCCGUAACUUCGGGAUAAGGGGCGCCUCCUACGGGAGGCCGCAGUGAAUAGGCCCAAGCAACUGUUUACCAAAAACACAGGUCUCUGCUAAAUCGAAAGAUGACGUAUAGGGGCUGACGCCUGCCCGGUGCCGGAAGGUUAAGAGGAGAGCUUAGCGCAAGCGAAGGUUCGAAUUGAAGCCCCGGUAAACGGCGGCCGUAACUAUAACGGUCCUAAGGUAGCGAAAUUCCUUGUCAGGUAAGUUCUGACCCGCACGAAUGGCGUAAUGAUUUGGGCACUGUCUCAACAGCCCGCCCGGCGAAAUUGUAGUACUGGUGAAGAUGCCAGUUACCCGCAACUAGACGGAAAGACCCCAUGGAGCUUUACUGUAGCCUAAUACUGAAGAUCGGUAAUGCAUGUACAGGAUAGGUGGGAGCCAGCGAAACCCGGGCGUCAGCUCGGAUGGAGGCAACCUUGGAAUACCACCCUUGUAUUGCUGGUUUUCUAACCUGCGGCCAUGAAUCUGGUCGGGGGACACUGUUAGGUGGGCAGUUUGACUGGGGCGGUCGCCUCCAAAAGCGUAACGGAGGCGCUCAAAGGUUGGCUCAGCACGGACGGAAAUCGUGCAUAGAGUGCAAACGCAUAAGCCAACUUGACUGCGAGACCGACGGGUCGAGCAGGUACGAAAGUAGGAGUUAGUGAUCCGGUGGUAUGUGAGUGGAAAUGCCAUCGCUCAACGGAUAAAAGCUACCCUGGGGAUAACAGGCUGAUCUCCCCCAAGCGU